UACGGAGGGUGCAAGCGUUAUCCGGAUUCACUGGGUUUAAAGGGUGCGUAGGCGGGUUGGUAAGUCCGUGGUGAAAUCCCCCAGCUUAACUUGGGAACUGCCGUGGAUACUAUCAAUCUUGAAUAUCGUGGAGGUAAGCGGAAUAUGUCAUGUAGCGGUGAAAUGCUUAGAUAUGACAUAGAACACCAAUUGCGUAGGCAGCUUACUACACGAUCAUUGACGCUGAGGCACGAAAGCGUGGGAGCAAACAGG
rnacentral:rRNA from 1 species